CCAAGGCCAUGGACUACUCCAAUGGGCUGUUUGACUGCCAGUCGCCCACCUCUCCCUUCCUGGGAAGCCUGCGGGCGCUGCACCUGCUGGAGGACCUGCGGGCGGCGCUGGAGAUGAUGGACCAGGAUGAGAGGGAGGGCCUCCGCUGCCAGGUCCCUGACACCACCGCCGACGGCCUAGUGGAGUGGCUGCAGCAGGGACAACUGACCAACGGAAAUGGCUCCGCCAUGAUCUACCAGGAACGGCUGUCACGGGUGGAGAGCGAUAAGGAGUGUCUCGUCCUUCAGGUGAGUGUUCUCUCAGACCAGGUGGAGGUGCAGGGGGAGAAGAUCAGAGAUCUGGACAUGUGUCUGGAGGAACACAGAGAGAAACUCGACGCCACUGAAGAAACGCUGCAGCAGGAGCUGUUGAGCAGGUCGACCCUGGAGACCCAGAAGCUGGAGCUGAUGACCGAGGUGUCCAGUCUGAAACUGAAGCUGACCACUGUGGCGAGAGAUCUCAGGGAUAGUGAGGGGUUGUACCAGGAAGUCAAUGACCUGCGGUUCAGGGUGACCGAUAUGGAGAAUGAAAGACUGCAGUGUGAGAAGAAACUUAAAUCCACCAAAGAGGAACUGCAGACUCUUCAGAGGCAGCUGGAGGAGCUGAGGAGGCUAAGAGACCAGGCUACACAGGGAGUGCUGACCCCAGACAGAACAGAUGGAGAGAAAGAUGUGGAUGUGCUGAGGAUGAAGAGGGCCAUGGAGUCUCUGACGUCAGCUAACAAUGACAAGGACCGGAGGAUCGAGGAGCUUCAGGAGUCUAUCACACGGUACAAGAAGGUCCAGGACUUGGUGAAAGACACACUGAAUGAAGAUGAUUACGAUGACAUCCAGGAUGACAGAUCCCCCUCCAUUCAGGUCGCCAUGGAUACAGACCGGGCCACCCUGGCAGUUGGGGAGGAGACAGGAAGGAGCUGUGACGAGAUUCCAUCUAUUGCAGUGUUUUCAGAGCUGGAGCAGGAGAGCCUGAUACAGGAACCAGACACAGACAGUCCACCAGAAGUCCCACCACAUUCAGCAGGUAGUCUGGGCCACAUAAACAGCAACACAGAGCAGACCACAGUUGAGGAGCCCAGCCCCCCAUCCACCUCCCCAUCAAACCCCAGCAGUAAUGAAAGCUUUGGGACCAAGAAGGCCCGCUCCUCCUUUGGACGUGGUUUCUUCAAGAUGCGUGGAGGCAAGAGGACGUCCAGUGCCCCAAAUCUGGAUCGCAGCCGGAGUGCGAGUGCGCCUACGUUGGCUGAGACAGAGUGUAAGGGCACAGACCACUUGGACUUGGCUGGUGCCCCGCCACACAAACCUCAGGGAGGAGACAGCAGCCAGACCCUACCUUCCUCACCAGAGGCCAAGAAGAAGUCCAGAGGCUUUAUGAAGUUCUUAGGCAGGCUGAAGAGAAGUCACUCCACCUCGCUAGACCUGGAGGAGACUGAGUUCAGGAGGGGAGGAGUCAGAGCCACGGCCGGCCCCCGACUGGGCUGGUCACGUGACUUACAGCACAGCGCCGAUGAUGUGGGCGCUCCCUUUGCGCAGUGGAGUAAGGAGCAGGUGUGUGUGUGGCUGCAGGAGCAGGGCCUGGGGCUGCACGUGGCUCAAGCCCAGCAGUGGAUCCGCUCAGGAUUCACCCUGCUCCAGGCCUCCCAGCAUGACCUGGAGAAGGAGUUGGGGAUCAAACAGCCCCUCCACAGGAAGAAGCUGCAGCUGGCUCUCCAGGCACUGGGAUCAGAGGAGGAUGUCAGCAAGGCCAAACUGGACCACAACUGGGUGACCAGAUGGCUUGAUGAUAUUGGUCUGCCACAAUAUAAGAGCCAGUUUGAUGAGGGGAGGGUCGAUGGACGAAUGCUACACUACAUGACUGUGGAUGACCUGCUGUCUCUUAAGGUGGGCAGUGUUCUCCACCACCUCAGCAUCAAGAGAGCCAUCCAGGUCCUCCGGCUCAACUUCUACGAGCCCAACUGCCUCCGCCGACGGCCCUCUGACGAGAACAACAUCACACCAGGGGGAGAUCUCCCAGUGGACCAAUCACAGAGUGAUGGAGUGGCUGAGAUCAGUGGACCUGGCUGAGUACGCUCCUAACCUGAGGGGCAGCGGUGUGCACGGGGGGGUCAUGGUGCUGGAGCCUCGCUUCAACGUGGAGUCCCUAGCCCUCCUGCUCAACAUCCCUCCCAACAAGACCCUGCUGCGCCGCCACCUGGCCACCCACUUCCACCUGCUCAUCGGCUCCGCUGCCCAGCGCAGCAAACAGGAGUGUCUGGAGAACCCUGACUACACCCUGCUCACUGCCACCGCCAAGGUCAAGCCCAGAAGGCUGCCGUUCGGUGGCUUCGGGACCCUGCGUAAGAAGCGCCAGGAGGACAGCGAAGAGUACGUGUGCCCCAUGGACGUGGAGAUGCCCAAGAACAGCAGCUUCCAGGGGGGCCUGAGGAUCUACGAGGACAACCUGGACCAGAUGGAGGACUCUGAAGGGGCUGUGAGGCAGAUAGGAGCAUUUUCUGAGGAAAUCGACAACCUGACGAGCAUGCUGAAGGAGGAUGAAUUCUUCAGCGAGGUCUCCUCUCGCUCCCCCCGAGGCCAGCGUCACCGAUGAAGACUCCAACGUGGGUUCCCGCCAAUUAAAUGUAUUAACUUUAGAUGACUGACAGGGGGUGCUGUUUUGCAGCAAUGAUUUGUCUACAUUUGUUUUUGACAAGUAUAUUCUAUUAGACACCUUUUAAUGCAUACUUUGAAAUGUGUAAAAAUACAAGGGAGUACUAAUGAUACUGUCCCCACAACAACAAAUAAAUACCUAAAUGCAUGUCAUUUUGUCCUUUAAACAUUUGAUUGAAGUGCUGUAGAAUUCAAGUCAUUCCUAUGGAGGAGUGCUCCGUCUGAGGAGCACCAAUAUGGCUGACGGGUGGCUUCAAAGCCCGUCAUUGGCUGUUACAUAGCAUCAGCAAUCCAGGGUUUAUACACAUCAUUGGCCCCAGCUGGCGUCACCAUGCAAACACACCCCCCCCCCCUUACACACACACCUUGAUAAGCUGUCUUCUACAACCUGAGACCACCAUGAUGCCUUACGUCGUUGUCGUUUCAGCAAUUUACUAUCUCCUGCUCUGCAUUCCCAAGUGAAGUUAUACAUGUGUAUUUAUUUAAGUUGAAAUGUAGCGCAUGACUUGAGAUUUCAACAUGGGAGCAUUUACUUUAUACUUCCAUACUUUCGUGUUACAGAACUCUUUUUUUUCUAUAUAUUUGUUUGAAUAUCCACAUGAGUCCCUGUACUUACAUGGUAUGCCAUUUUCCUGACUUAUUUUUGGAACCCUCUCAUGCCUAUUAGCAAUUAUAUAACCUAAAAGAUUGGUCAAGUCGCAGUGGGACGUUUUGACUUUAAUCCAUAAUUUCCUCUCCAUGUUCUCAUUUGAUGCUCCUGUUUGUGUCCCAAAGUAAUUCAAUGUUAUCACGUUGGUUUGUCCUGCCAUGUGGAAUUUUAGGAACAUGGAAGCCCAAUGUUCUAGAAUGUAAACAUCACCAGAAAGCAAUAUUGUUUUGCAAGCCGUAACCAUAUCAGUGAACACAAUGUAACGUACUGUGUACUGUUUCUAUGCAUCUUUUUGUGAAUUGUCAAUAAAAACAUGGUAAAAUGAUGGACUACA